AUGCGAAUGAACAGGGAUGAGCUCAGCAUGGAAAUCGGGGCCUCGGCCUUGAAUUGUAGUCUCGAGAUGCACUGCCAACGGUGGCGCGGAUGUAAGCCUCUUGGAAAAUAGCAUCAAUGAGGGUGAGAGUCCCGUCUGUCAUGCGCAGCCCCCCGUGCACGGCGUGCCUUCGAAGAGUCACGUUCCUUGGGAUUGGAGCGCAAAUUGGGUGGUAAAUUUCAUCUCAAGCUAAAUAUUGGUUCGAGACCGAUAGCAAACAAGUACCAUGAGGGAAAGGUGAAAAGGACUUUGAAAAGAUAGUUAAAAGUGCCUGAAAUUGCUGAAAGGGAAGCGAAUGGAACCAGAAAGUCUUGGCGAGAUUGUUGCGCGCUCAGGUGAUGACAUGCUGCUCAACGUAAGUGCUGCAGCAAAUUUUGAUCUGGCAGUGCGUGGUGGUUCUUGCCUUGCGUGUCAUCUUCAGUUCAAAGUUAGGGACAACUAGAAAGACAUGGUAUGUUGCCAACGGGUGACUGAAUGUCUUUGGCAGAACCCACUCCUGAAUUGAUUGAUGACCACACGGUUUCCUUCGACCCGUCUUGAAACACGGACCAAGGAGUCUAACAUGUGUGCAAGUUCUCGGGUGUGCAAACCUGCGUGCGCAAUGAAAGUGACUGCUGGGAUAUCUGCGCCAGCAACUGACCAAUCAAUUGUGAGAGGUUUGAGUAUGAGCAUAUCUGUUAGGACCCGAAAGAUGGUGAACUAUGCCUGAGAAGGGCGAAGUCAGGGGAAACUCUGAUGGAGGCUCGUAGCGAUACUGACGUGCAAAUCGUUCGUCAUACUUGGGUAUAGGGGCGAAAGACUAAUCGAACCAUCUAGUAGCUGUUUCCCUCC
rnacentral:rRNA from 1 species